rnacentral:rRNA from 1 species
GGCAGCAGCCGCGGUAACACCGGCGGCCCGAGUGGUGAUCGUGAUUAUUGGGUCUAAAGGGUCCGUAGCCGGUUUGGUCAGUCCUCCGGGAAAUCUGAUAGCUCAACUAUUAGGCUUUCGGGGGAUACUGCCAGACUUGGAACCGGGAGAGGUAAGAGGUACUACAGGGGUAGGAGUGAAAUCUUGUAAUCCCUGUGGGGCCACCUGUGGCGAAGGCGUCUUACCAGAACGGGUUCGACGGUGAGGGACGAAAGCUGGGGGGCACGAACCGGAUUAGAUACCCGGGUAGUCCCAGCCGUAAACGAUGCUCGCUAGGUGUCAGGCAUGGCGCGACCGUGUCUGGUGCCGCAGGGAAGCCGUGAAGCGAGCCACCUGGGAAGUACGGCCGCAAGGCUGAAACCUAAAGGAAUUGGCGGGGGAGCACAACAACGGGUGGAGCCCUGCGGUUUAAUUGGACUCAACGCCGGACAACUCACCGGGGGCGACAGCAAUAUGUAGGCCAAGCUGAAGACUUUGCCUGAAUCGCUGAGAAGAGGUGCAUGG